CCAGCUUUAGCGGGUGACCACUGUAGCAGUGCGGCAGUAAGCGAGGCGCGUCAGGGCAGACUGCACAACUUAAACUACAAGUACAUGCCAAGAAAGGGAAAAGGGAUGCCGUUGGGGGAGGGGUUGUGCCAGAGGGAGACGGCGAUAGAGAGGGCGAGUGAGAAAGCGAAAGGGGAUCAGAUGAGGAAUACCUGCCUAUGUGUGUGUUACUGCGAGAGAGCUGCUUACUUGCACUUACACUACCACCACCUCGGGCUGUGCUCUCUCCUCACUUUAUUACAUAACAUCCUUGAACUUGAGCUGAGCUUGCCAGAGUUUCCUUUUCAAAUGCAAUACGUAUGCAAGUAUAUCUGUGCAUUUUAAUUCUGGCAGUGGGACGCCCAGCUCCUUUCAAUACAUAUGUACGUUGCUUUCUUCUGGUCCCCAUUCUUCUCUUCUCCCACACUUUGACCACUUCGUUUCUUCUCUCUUCGCGUCGGAAGCUUUCGGGCUUUAGCGGCGACAACGACGGCUCGGUCAUAUUCUGCUGGGCUGCGCGUUGGCAUUGAAAGUGUGGCAGGCGAGCUGCCAACAACGCUCCAUUCCCAGAAAAUUCCCAAUCGGAAGCAGAAGAAUUCUAAACACAACAAAAAGUACUGCAUAUAAUACCCACCUCAAAAAAGAGCCAGCAAACAAUCCCUACAUUAUUUGUUACAAAUUAGACACGCAAAUGACAUCAACAGCGAAAUUGAAUCAGUUAAAAACCAACCCAUUCAAAAUGGAAAAGCAAAUACAAUGCAAAAUAAUUGGAAAUUAAUUGUGCUCAAUUCUACGUGAAGUGCGUGUCAUAUCACAAAAAAAUCGAAGAUAAACACACGGAUUGGUAAUUUCGCCAAACAUAAAUUAUAUCCUUUUAAGUGCAUUCUAUUGUGUGAUUGGAAAAACUAGGAAGUAAAUAACGAAAUUGAUAUAAAAAUGCAAGCGCAUUUCACAACUAUUUUAAAUACGUGCCUCAAACAAGUGAGUUUUUACAUGAAGAUACAACAAUUAAAAAGCUAUUAGAAGUCGGUGAAACAAUAAAUUAAUAAAAUAUCAAAUGGGAUCAUAAAAGGGUGGCGGCGAGCUGCGUCAGCAUGGAAAUUUAAUUAGCGACAGUUCAGUUCAGCUGAGCGGCGAUAAGUCGAAAGGAUUGGAUGGCACACUGUACCGCCCACUUGCUCGACCCCUGCACCCACCCACCACCACCACCCACUUGGGCACGAAGUGGGCAAGGGGAAGGAGGAGAUUUCGUUGAUUUUUGCAUGACGACAGCAAAAAGCGAAAAGGCGGAACAACAAUCGAAAUGCAACUGCACGGGUGUGUGGGUGUGCGAGCAAGGCAGCCUAUGUGAACCAGACAUGCGCGCUCUCUCUCAGCGACUUGAACUUGAAAACUUUUUACUGCCGGCAAAACGAAAGAGAGCUGAAAAGAGAGAGAGAGCGCUGAACAGGUAUGUGUAUGUGUGUGUGUUUUCCAUUGAUUAAGUUAAACAAAAACAAAAUCAGAGCUGAGCGCAAGCUUCGCUCCCGCAGCUUUUGAUUUUCGCGAGAGCAGCAAGCAGCUUUUGCGUGGGCGGCUUAAGGCAGCGCAGUCGACGUCGCUGCCGGCGUCAGCCAACUGUUUGCUGUUUUGUUGUAGGCACAUACUGUUGCAUACCUAAGGGGAUAGGAAGUAGCAAAGUAGCGGGACUGGACGGCGGAGUGAGAAGCGGGAAAACGGUAGGUGGGAGGCGGGAGGUAGUGGAGGAGGGGCGUGACCUCCACCUGUGCGAGCCCAGCUGCAGCUUCCCCGUUGGCCAAGCUGGCAAAGUUUAUUCGGUGACGAGCGGGCGACCGAUGAGGUCAGCAUCACGCAUACGCCUAGUUAUCCCCCGUGUGCCCAGUAUCCUGUUCGCUGUUAUUUUCAGUUCGUUCGCUUGUGAGUGUCCGUGUGCGCUUCGUUCCAAGUUCAUUUUAAAGGCGCGUCGCCCUAGUGGCAAAAUCAGGUGUGGAGAAUUGAUUAGCACACAGCCCGAAAAUGGGAGAAAAAUACAAACAAUAUGGUCGCUGCGGUGUGUGUACUUACAUAAAACUCAAGUCAAGUGACGCACGCCAGCAUAUGGCAAUUAAAUUUGAAUAAUUAACCAGCUGAGAACGACACGAACGGAGCUCUCUUCGACACACACACACACACGCACACCAACGGGCAUACGGACGUACUAACACUAGCUCACAUUUGCCAUAUGCAACACUGGCUGUUGUUUUUAUCCUGCACCUUGACCUUUCCACACCCAUGCAGCAGUACGCGUGGGCAGCAGCAGGAUAUUGGAUACACGCGUCCCAUUUCGGGGGAUCAGAUAUAUAUAUAUAUAUAUGUAUGUAUGUACAUGUGCAUGUACACAUACACUCGGCUAUAUAGAACAACCCACAAGUCGGCUGGCAGCUGUUUGUAGCCGAAACCAAGGAGACGAGAUGCACGACAAAAACACUUCGGUUAUCACACUGAAAAGAGGUCCAGUUGGACCUGCGGAAAGUUUCGCCCACGAGUCACAGAUGGUCCAAGUGCAAUUAAUUGAAUAUCCAGAAAAAUGCAGGAAGUAACUCAGUUCAAAUAGUGAAGAGGGAUAUAAAUGGGUACAGGUAACAGAAUAAAUUUGAAUGCCUUGUUUGCUCGAAAAGAACAGAAACAAUAAAGUCUGAUAAAAGUAAAAGUGAAGUAAAUAUAAAAUCAAAAUUUCCAAAGUAAAUAUCUAUAGUUUUUAUUGCAUCUCAUAUAUUUAAUGAUGCUUAAAAAUAUACGGAAUUUUUAAGUUCGUAAUGCACUCAGAGUGUCAUUGCAUUUAGUUGUGAAAUUAAAUGUGAUUCAUAUAAUAAGUUUAGCUCUCACUAAAAUUAUAAAUUCAUACGGCUUAUAUCGCGUUUGCUUAGUGCAAAGAAAAGUUAGAUACAUUUAACAUAAUUAAAAGCAAUAUAAUAAAAUGUGACUUUAGUGGCGCAUUGCGAACUAAUGUUUAAAAACCAAAAGUGUGUCUUAUAGAGUGAAAUAAUUCUAAAACGUGUAUUAUAAAAGUGCAGCUAAAUGAAACUGUCGCUUGUGGAAACUUUGUCUGCAGCUUGGUGAAAAGCGGGAAAAACGGUUUGUGUCUCUGCUGAGCUUUUCGCGAAAAGCGAAUUUUCCAUAUGCAACUGCCAUUGGGAUACACCCUGUGCUCGCUUUGAAUGAAAUGCAAGCAAGUGAACACAGCUGGUGGUAUCCAGUGGCCGUUUGGCAUCCUUGCUGCUCCACAAACUCCAAGGAUAACGGGAAUGCCCCAUCGAGAAGUUCAUUACAGGGUAAGUGCAUCUUCAGAUCUAUCAGUUUCCUGCUCAGGAUAAUACCAUUUGUUUUGCAAGUCCAAUUUAUCAAUGAUUUUCAUUUCGUUUACUCGUUUAUUACUUUUCGUUACGAACCUAAUUUUGCCAUACUAAAAUGAUGUUCUCUUAGUCAUAAGCUUCAGUUCGAUUCAACAAAAAGUAUUCAUUUCUCCCCAAGAAAAAAUUUCGAAAACAAUAAUGAAAACAGUGAAAAGAGAUAAAUUGGAAUUCGAAUAAAAUAAUCUUAAGACUUAAGAAUCGUUUAAGAAACUAAUCAGUGAGAAGACAAAAAUUGCAUAUGAUUAGACUCAGCAUUUUCUUGUUACACAUUUCUCUGAAUAAUUAUAAUUUCGCUUUUCGUUUGGCUUUGGUUUUUCCGCUUGCUCCGAAUUUCUUUUUAAUUUCGAUGUACUUUAUACUAUCCACGCACAUCGGCGGAUUGGGAUUUGUGGGCUCCGAGGUGCGAUUAUGGGCGCAUCGAAUGCAACGCUCUGAAAACUCUCGAAAUCAUUAAUUAUGCCCCGCACAAAUAGCAAACCGUCCGUAGUAAUGAGGGAAAUUUUCAGCGAUCUGCUUUAGAAAUCGCCGAACGGCUGGCACAAACAAUUAAAAAGAUGUUCAUGCUGCAAAUUGAUUUUGUUUGUUUGUGAUUAAUAUAACUAUAUUUAUUUUCGCCCGAUUUUCUGCUUCUGUUUUCGCGCUUUUCACCCAGUCGCGUGUGCACUUGUGCUGCAAAACGAAAGCAAAGCCAUUUGGCAUUUUCUAUUUUCGUUUCGCUUCGUCUUUUCGGCCAACACACCACUACUGCACCACUGCCAACCGAAUUGAAUUUGGCCAAGAUUUCUUGUUCUUGGUCCGAACUGCAAACUGCAGCUGUGCAAAGACAAUGCAAAGGCAAAUCGCAACUUGGUGACAUUAUUUCGACAUUUGCCUGCUAGCCAAUGCAGCCACUUUUGUCACUUUUGCAUUUCAAAUGACCGUCAAUUAUCCUUUGUCGACGACACUCCCCUUUGUCUUUCCUCGUUCUUUUCUCCCUUGAGGUCAAGGAAAGCGAAAUUGAUUUUCCGCCCGAGCGAAUUUUCCCCCGUUUAGUCCAUAGUAUACGUGUAUAUAGUGUGAUACUUGUGCAUUUAAGAGUCUCUUUUUUUCUGCUCGUGUCUUAUGCAAUCGCGCUGGGUGACAGAACGGCAAUGAUUUUUUCAGUCAACUCAGAGAAUGAAAUCAAUUUCUACCCUCUGGACUGACUGGUCAAACAAUUAUCUGCAGGGUAAUUAAAGCCACAUUUGUUGCCACACUGUGCAUUUUGUUCGCUUUUCGGUGACCUCAUGACAAGUUUUAUGUCGAAAUUAGCUGGGAUUGAAGUGCUCGCAUAUAAAACGCCGUCAAAUUCAAUAAAAAACCAGCCAUAAAAUUAUAGACAAUGGCCGAGCUGAGCUCUGCGGCUUACGCAAUCGAGGGAUAUAGAAAUCCAGCUAAUAUAUCAUCGGAAAUAACAAGUUUAUGGUCAACAAAUUAAAUCAUUAAUCUAGGGGACAAUUAUAGAUGAAUACGCUUUUUAGCCAUCAUCACACUGAUUCAUUCGUACAAAACAGUGGAUUGCAUUUUAUUGGUAUUAUAAUCAAUAGUUUUUGAUUAAUUCUAACGAACUUAAAAUCUUUGCACUGCAAUUUUACUUCUUCGUAUAGAUGUAUUCUUAUCUUAUAAAUGUAAAACCAGUUUAUUGUUUUAUAUUUUGGUCAGUAGAUUUGUGCAUUUUUACAUCCAUUCAUCUCCAUACAUACCAUACAUAUGUAUGUAUUUACAUUCCCCAAGUUUGUGACUUUUUUUGGGGGUAUUCAUCAGAUAGAUAAAAUUCAUAGGGACUGUGUGCAAUGUCGGCUGUCGGCGCACUUGAAAUCAUUUAUCGCCCAAGAUCGUGUGCCAGCUCUCGUUUUAUCGAACUAAUAUUGUAAUGACAGCACGGGCACUAAUCACACGAAAUGCUUCAGGUCGUGCAUGACGAGAUUAACAUUAACAAUUGCGAUACCAGCUGUUGGCCUCAGGGGGCACAUUCGCGGUGGAAAAGCGGAAUUUUCAAUUUAAGGUUGACCUUAGAGCAAAAUUUGAUCGAUAAUUUCGCAUAAUUGUGGAAUCUCUCCCACAAAAAAAAAACCGAAAAACUAAAAAAACUGUGACACAUGCACACGGACUAGCACACACACAGCGAAACAUCACCUUGAACAUUAAACUGCAACUGUGCGAGGGAGAAAGAGACAGCCAGCGGGAGCGAAAGAGAGGGUAAGGAAUAGAUAAAGAGAGCUAGAUAGUUUUUGUUUGCGUCAUGUGCAACUGCAAAAGCUUUCGGUUUCCGCUGUUCGCAUCCAUGUGUGCGUCUGUGUGAGUGUGCAGAGAGAGCUUUAACCGAAAGCGCGCUCUCCUCGAUUUUUAGCCUUAUCUCAGCUAGCUUUUUUUGAACGGCCCGAGCAGCUGACAGUUGCGCUUCAGCAUUAGACCAAAGUAGUUUGACUUUUUAGUUUUUAGCCGCGAAGCGAAUAGUAUAUACGUGGCUCUGUGUGUGUGUGUGUGUGUGCGGUGUGUGUUGUGGCAGCUGCAUUUGCAGCGAGAGACAGAAAUACAUUUCGUACAAAAUUCCGCCCUGCAUUUAGUAUAUUUCACCUUAGAGCGUCUUUGCCACACACACACUUGUAACCACUCACACACUGACAAGCGCGAACAAGACACACACGUGGCCAUCAAAGCGGUAUCGGUUCGCGUCGCGUUUGGCCUAAAAUUGUAACAGUUUUCCUUUUACAACAACGAA